CGCAGUGUGGGGCGGGGCCUCCAAAGGCGCGUGUGCGCCGGCUGGGGGCCAGCCGGCGCGAUGGACUUGGCCCUUUCCAACGCCCCGAGUCUGGCGCCGCCGCUGCCGCUGCCAGCCGAGGUGAGCUCCGAGGAGGAGCUCUCUGACUGCCUCGAUUACUACUACCUGCGCGACUUCCCGGCCGGUGGGGCCGGACACAGCAAGGGCCGCACGCAGCGCGAGCGGGAACUGCGCACCAACUGGCCGGUGCCUGGCGGCCACGAACGCAAAAUCGCACAGAAGCUCCUCAACGGCCAGCGCAAGCGGCGCCAGCGCAAGCUGCAGCCCCGGCCGCGCACCCGGCUCUCCUGCGCGUCGGUGCGUACCGGCCACGCCGUUAGGGCUCGGGGUGCCCCGUGAGCGCGAUCGCCGCCUUGGUCCCCCAAGACUCGACCAGGGCAGAGUGGGCCCUUCGGAAGCGGCACCGCCUUAGCGAGUCGCAGGUGACCCGUUUGGCCCACAGCUUAUCUCCUGACUGCAGUUGGAAUGGUGGAAGAGGCUAGGGAAGGAUACCGAAGGAACUGAUAAAAAAAAGUCUUUCCUUUGACUCCAGCUGUAACGGUGGACUUAAGGGGGAGAGAAUCCAUGUUGGUCAACAGAAUUUGGUUUUGGCAUCGCUUAAGUUUACUGCUUCAACGGCCAGACUCUGGUUGUUAAUUAAGUAACAUCCAAGUGGGUAUGCCUUUUUAGGGUUUUUAAUUAAAAAGAGAGCAGCAGCAAGAGUGGCAUUUUAA